rnacentral:sRNA from 1 species
CCUAGCACUGACGUACUAGGCUGAUAUAUGCCGUAACUUCGGUACU